rnacentral:rRNA from 1 species
GGCUCGAACAAGCGGUGGAGCAUGUGGUUUAAUUCGAUGCUACGCGAAGAACCUUACCAAGGUUAGACUUAUAGCAAAUCCUUUCGAAACAGAGGAGUGCCUUCGGGAAUGUUAUAUCAGGUGGUGCAUGGCUGUCGUCAGCUCGUGUCGUGAGAUGUUGGGUUAAGUCCCGCAACGAGCGCAACCCUUGUUUUUAGUUUGAUUUAUCUCUAUGACACUGUUAGAGAUUUCGUUCUCUUAACUUUAGUGGGUAAAAUUACUAAAAAGACUGCUGGUGAAAGCUGGAGGAAGGUGAGGAUGACGUCAAGUCGGCAUGCUCUUUAUGCCUUGGGCUACACACGUGCUACAAUGAUUAGGACAAUGAGUUGCGAGCUUGUGAAAGCCAGCUAAUCUUAUAAACCUUAUCUAAGUUCGGAUUGAAGGCU